rnacentral:rRNA from 1 species
UCGAGAAUCUUCCGCAAUGGACGAAAGUCUGACGGAGCGACGCCGCGUGCAGGAUGAAGUGCUUCGGUAUGUAAACUGCUUUUAUGAGGGACGAAGUUUAUUGACGGUACCUCAUGAAUAAAGGGUUGCUAAACUCGUGCCAGCAGCAGCGGUAAUACGAGUGCCCUAAGCGUUAUCCGGAAUCAUUGGGCGUAAAGGGUGUGUAGGCGGUCAUGUUAGUCUUCUGUCAAAUUCUUCGGCUUAACCGGGGGCUCACGGAGGAAACGGCAUGACUCGAGGAUGGGAGAGGUACAUGGAACUCAUAGUGUAGGGGUGAAAUCCGUUGAUAUUAUGGGGAACACCAAAUGCGAAGGCAAUGUACUGGCCCACUCCUGACGCUGAAACACGAAAGCGUGGGUAGCGAAUGGGAUUAGAUACCCGCGUAGUCC